UACGAAGGGGGGCUAGCGUUGCUCGGAAUCACUGGGCGUAAAGGGUGCGUAGGCGGGUCUUUUAAGUCAGGGGUGAAAUCCUGGAGCUCAACUCCAGAACUGCCUUUGAUACUGAAGAUCUUGAGUUCGGGAGAGGUGAGUGGAACUGCGAGUGUAGAGGUGAAAAUUCGUAGAUAUUCGCAAGAACACCAGUGGCGAAGGCGGCUCACUGGCCCGAUACUGACGCUGAGGCACGAAAGCGUGGGGAGCAAACAGGG
rnacentral:rRNA from 1 species